AGUGAACGCUGGCGGUAGGCCUAACACAUGCAAGUCGAACGGCAGCACAGUAAGAGCUUGCUCUUACGGGUGGCGAGUGGCGGACGGGUGAGGAAUACAUCGGAAUCUACUUUUUCGUGGGGGAUAACGUAGGGAAACUUACGCUAAUACCGCAUACGACCUACGGGUGAAAGCAGGGGAUCUUCGGACCUUGCGCGAUUGAAUGAGCCGAUGUCGGAUUAGCUAGUUGGCGGGGUAAAGGCCCACCAAGGCGACGAUCCGUAGCUGGUCUGAGAGGAUGGUCAUACGAACGGGAACUGUGACAAGGUUCAGACUCUGACGGGAAGCAGCAGCGGGGAAUAUUGGACAAGGGGCGCAAGCCUGAUCCAGCAAUACCGCGUGGGUGAAGAAGGCCGUCGAGUUGUAAAGCCCUUUUGUUGGGAAAGAAAAGCAGCAGGUUAAUACCCCGCUGUUUUGACGGUACCCGAAGAAUAAGCACCGGCUAAGUUCGUG
rnacentral:rRNA from 1 species